UUGAGGUGCAUUCUCGUGUUGAUAGUGUGACAUCCCCAGCUUCUCCUGCUUUUCCUACUAUACUGCUCUUGCCCCACUGCCAGCCACCAUGGAUAAGACCGAGUUGAUCCAGAAAGCCAAGCUGGCUGAGCAAGCUGAGCGCUACGACGAUAUGGCCACCUGCAUGAAGGCAGUAACUGAGCAAGGUGCUGAGCUGUCCAACGAGGAGCGCAACCUGCUCUCAGUGGCCUACAAGAACGUAGUGGGGGGGCGGCGCUCUGCCUGGAGGGUCAUCUCUAGCAUUGAGCAGAAGACAGACACCAGUGACAAGAAGAUGCAGCUCAUCAAGGACUAUCGGGAGAAGGUGGAGUCUGAGCUCAGGUCCAUCUGCACCACUGUGCUG